GACGAACGCUGGCGGCGUGCUUAACACAUGCAAGUCGAACGGAAAGGCCCUGCUUUUGUGGGGUGCUCGAGUGGCGAACGGGUGAGUAACACGUGAGUAACCUGCCCUUGACUUUGGGAUAACUUCAGGAAACUGGGGCUAAUACCGGAUAGGAGCUCCUGCUGCAUGGUGGGGGUUGGAAAGUUUCGGCGGUUGGGGAUGGACUCGCGGCUUAUCAGCUUGUUGGUGGGGUAGUGGCUUACCAAGGCUUUGACGGGUAGCCGGCCUGAGAGGGUGACCGGCCACAUUGGGGCUGAGAUACGGCACAGACGCCUACGGGAGGCAGCAGGGGGGAGUAUUGCACAAUGGGCGGAAGCCUGAUGCAGCAACGCCGCGUGCGGGAUGACGGCCUUCGGGUUGUAAACCGCUUUCGCCUGUGACGAAGCGUGAGUGACGGUAAUGGGUAAAGAAGCACCGGCUAACUACGUG
rnacentral:rRNA from 1 species